AGUGAACGCUGGCGGUAGGCCUAACACAUGCAAGUCGAACGGCAGCACAGUAAGAGCUUGCUCUUACGGGUGGCGAGUGGCGGACGGGUGAGGAAUACAUCGGAAUCUACUUUUUCGUGGGGGAUAACGUAGGGAAACUUACGCUAAUACCGCAUACGACCUACGGGUGAAAGCAGGGGAUCUUCGGACCUUGCGCGAUUGAAUGAGCCGAUGUCGGAUUAGCUAGUUGGCGGGGUAAAGGCCCACCAAGGCGACGAUCCGUAGCUGGUCUGAGAGGAUGAUCAGCCACACUGGAACUGAGACACGGUCCAGACUCCUACGGGAGGCAGCAGUGGGGAAUCUUGGGCAAUGGGCGCAAGCCUGAUCCAGCCAUACCGCGUGAGUGAAGAAGGCCUUCGGGUUGUAAAGCCCUUUUGUUGGGAAAGAAAAGCAGCAGGUUAAUACCCCGCUGUUCUGACGGUACCCAAAGAAUAAGCACCGGCUAACUUCGUG
rnacentral:rRNA from 1 species